AUUGAACGCUGGCGGCAGGCCUAACACAUGCAAGUCGAGCGAGUGGCGGACGGGUGAGUAAUGUCUGGGAAACUGCCUGAUGGAGGGGGAUAACUACUGGAAACGGUAGCUAAUACCGCAUACCAUCAGAUGUGCCCAGAUGGGAUUAGCUUGUAGGUGGGGUAAUGGCUCACCUAGGCGACGAUCCCUAGCUGGUCUGAGAGGAUGACCAGCCACACUGGAACUGAGACACGGUCAAGACGCCUACGGGAGGCAGCAGUGGGGAAUAUUGCACAAUGGGCGCAAGCCUGAUGCAGCCAUGCCGCGGGUGUGAAGAAGGCCUUCGGGUUGUAAAGCACUUUCAGCGGGGAGGCGUUACCCGCAGAAGAAGCACCGGCUAACUCCGUGCCAGCAGCCGCGGUAAUUC
rnacentral:rRNA from 1 species